UACGUAGGGGGCAAGCGUUGUCCGGAUUUAUUGGGCGUAAAGAGCGUGUAGGCGGCCAGGUAGGUCGGUUGUGAAAACUCGAGGCUCAACCUCGAGAUGUCGACCGAAACCAUCUGGCUAGAGUCCGGAAGAGGAGAAUGGAAUUCCCGGUGUAGCGGUGAAAUGCGCAGAUAUCGGGAAGAACACCCGUGGCGAAGGCGGUUCUCUGGGACGGUACUGACGCUGAGACGCGAAAGCGUGGGG
rnacentral:rRNA from 1 species